GACCCCGUAGCUCAGCAGGAUAGAGCAACGGUUUCCUAAACCGUAGGCCGGAGGUUCGAAUCCUCUCGGGGUCGCCA
rnacentral:tRNA from 1 species